CACGUAGUUAGCCGGGGCUUCUUGGUCAGGUACUGUCAUUUUCUUCCCUGCUGAUAGAACUUUACAUACCGAAAUAUUUCUUCGUUCACGCGGCGUCGCUGCAUCAGGGUUCCCCCCAUUGUGCAAUAUCCCCCACUGCUGCCUCCCGCAGGAGUCUGGACCGUGUCUCAGUCCCAAUGUGGCCGGCCGCCCUCUCAGGCCGGCUACUGAUCGCAGCCUUGGUGGGCCGUUACCCCGCAACAAGCUAAUCAGACGCGGGCCCAUCCCGUACUGCCGGAGCUUUCCCCGCAGGGCCAUGCGGCCCCGCGGGAAUAUGCGGUAUAGCAGCCGUUUCGGCUGUUCGUCCCCCGGUAGGGGCAGGUUCGCCCACGGCGUUGCUCCACCCGUCCGCCACUCACGUCCCCCGCGGCCUUCCCCCGGAGGGGUCCGCCGCAGGCGCUUCGUCGCUUGCAUGUGUUAGGCACGCCGCCAGCGUUCAUCCUGACGCAGGAUCCAAACUCUA
rnacentral:rRNA from 1 species